rnacentral:misc_RNA from 1 species
GCGAGACGCAGAUAUUGAAAGCGUGUAUGUACGUUCGGUGCUAGUGGUGCUUCCGGAGUCUAAAGGAUAAACGGAUCCUCAACAAUAACCCCAUUCGAAUUCUAACCGUUUUUAACCCGUUGACUCGCUCUCUUUUUCUCUUCCGCGCCGUUUUGAUUUCACCCUCUCCUUUCUCUCUCAUUCUUUUUCCCCACCUCCAUCUUUCUCUCUCUUUAUUCCGUCAGUGCGGUGUUUAUAUUUAUGCUUUGCGUCGGAGAUUAAUAAGCCAAACCAUUCAACGAAGAUGGAUGAUUCGAACGAGGUGCUGGUUUGCGCUGCAGAGUUCUUGAAGGAUCGAUUGUACUUUGUUACACUGAGAACAACUGUCAAGCCCAGAAGCACACCGAACACCCACUACUUCAGUAUAGAUAAUGAACUAGUAUAUGAAAACUUUUACGCUGACUUUGGACCUCUCAAUCUAGCCAUGCUCUACCGUUAUUGCCAGAAGGUAAACAAAAAACUUAAGGCUGUUACCCUGAGCAAGAAAAAAAUAGUCCACUAUACAACCAUGGAUGCCCAGAAGAGGGUCAAUGCUGCGUUUCUUAUCGCCAGCUAUAUGAUAAUAUAUUGGAAACGCACUGCAGAGGAGGCUUACGAAUGCUUGAUAUCAAGCCCGACUAGCCCGCCAUUCGCUAUGUUCAGGGAUGCCUCUUUGGGAGCUCCCUGCUAUCAAAUAUCUCUUGAAGAAUGUCUCCGUGCCAUUCAAAAGUGUCAUGUUUUGGGCUUCUUCAAUUUUUGUGAUUUCCACCACAAGGAAUACGAGCACAACGAACGUGUGGAAAAUGGGGAUUUGAAUUGGAUCGUUCCAGGCAAAUUUAUUGCUUUCUGUGGGCCCCAUGUUAAAACCAAAAUUGAAAAUGGCUAUCCCCUGCAUGCCCCAGAGUCUUAUUUUGCGUAUUUCCGUCGCACCAACGUUUCAACCAUUGUACGAUUGAACAAAAAGAUAUACGAAGCUUCAAGGUUUAUCGAAGCAGGCUUUGAUCACAAGGAAUUGUUUUUUAUCGAUGGCUCGACUCCCACCGAUUCUAUAAUGCGACAGUUUCUCAAAAUAUCUGAGAAUGCACCCGGUGCUGUGGCGGUUCAUUGCAAGGCUGGUCUUGGCAGGACUGGAACACUGAUCGGCUGCUACAUAAUGAAGCACUAUCAUCUCACUGCCAGAGAAACCAUUGCCUGGAUCAGAAUUUGCAGACCUGGCUCUGUCAUAGGGCAUCAACAGCACUGGCUUGAACAGAAAGAAGCGUACCUUCAUUCUUUACUGAAAGUGCCUUUGCGGGCGUCGGCGAAUGGAGAGCCGGUGCAUCCUUAUGGGAUUUACUCUCUGGCAGAAAGAUCCGCCGAUUCGUCCAUUCCGGGUAUUAAAACUUCUCGCCUCGUUCAGGACAAUGUCUCUGGCAUUAUGCACCGUGUCGACGGUAUAAAACUAGACGAUCCUGGACCACUUUCAAGCAUUGCUGUACCAAAAAUCUCUGUGCUCACUCAGGGCGAUAAACUGAAUCAAAUUAAAGCCUCGAGACGGAGUGCGAUACCCUCCUGUCAAUCGGCCCUUAGCGCAAUAUCAAGCCCAUCGACCGUAGUGCACCCCUAUCUAGGCCCCUUGCUUCAUACCAGAGGUCAAAAAAGUGCAACAGGUCUAACGAGUACCAAGGAUAAGGAACCCCCGAAGCGGCUACUCGGACGAGCGACAACUACGACAAUCGUCAAAAGAAACAAUUGGCUGGUCACUAACAACUGCGACUCUACCGUGCGUCGUGUCAAUUCGAAAACGACGACACAAGUUAGUAACAAUCGGUACCAGGCUCACGUCAACAGAGACGGCCAUCAAAACAACAACAACAACAACAACAACAAUAACAAGGUCGAUGACGUCGAUAACGAAGACGACCGCGACGAACUGGACCCAACCCGCCCGGUCGCAUCUUUUUUGGUGUCGAAACCCGUAACGAGGGCUAGUGUCAGAGCUUCCUGUAUCGCAGAUACUCGCCCCAAUGUUGCGACAACGAAUCGCUCGGCCCAACAGCCUCAACAGCCGGGCAUGAGCAUGAUUCUCCGGUCGGCAGAUCGCGUCACACGAUACCAUUCUUUGAGGCACGGUGCCGGAGAUGAUACAGUGGUCAGUCGGACUCCGGGGCAGCGCCGGAAAUCCAGACGUCUCAAUCCGAUCCUCCACUAAGAUGCGCAUCGACCUUGUCCACGAAGACAACUUCCUUGAACGGAGAACCGAGGACUCGGCAGAUUCAGUCGCCGACUGGACAAGGCGGAUCUCAUCCUGGGCUGUUUCUAUGGUGGGGAUGCGGUACUAGAUUUGUGACUAAUUUUUCAUCCCUUACACCUUAUAUCCGAUAAGAUAUCUUCAACAUUUCAAGCUCGCUCUGGGCUAUAAGCGAGAUUGCAGACAUUAUCAAAGAUUUUAAUACGCUUUGAUUCACUAACUUUCACGCGCUGUAGGGUGGAGGAUGAAUUACGAUUAACGGCAUAGGUGGAUUACUUGCGCCCCAAUUUCGAGUCGCGAUAUGUCUGCCUUUCACUCAAGAAACUGCUAACUGCACAUCCCCUACGACUUCCCUACUCCUGAUUCCGGACUGGAAAAAUAUGAGGUCGGCUCUUUAGUGCGAUGCUGUGAAUAUUGUGGUACCCAAAGACGCGGAAUCCAAGCGAAGGCCGCGUAGCUCACCGAAAAGUCAUUAUUGCUCAACCGA